rnacentral:rRNA from 1 species
UACGGGGGGGGCAAGCGUUGUUCGGAAUUACUGGGCGUAAAGGGCUCGUAGGUGGCCAACUAAGUCACACGUGAAAUCCCCAGGCUUAACCUGGGAACUGCGUGUGAUACUGGAUGGCUUGAAUUCGGGAGAGGGAUGCAGAAUUCCAGGUGUAGCGGUGAAAUGCGUAGAUAUCUGGAGGAAUACCGGUGGCGAAGGCGGCAUCCUGGACCGACAUUGACGCUGAGUGAGCGAAAGCUAGGGUAGCAAACAGG